GUAUCGGCAUACUGGGCGUAAGCGUACGCAGGCGGUUUGUUAAGCGAGAUGUGAAAGCCCCGCGCGCUCAACCUGGGAACUGCAUUUCGAACUGGCAAACUAGAGUGUGAUAGAGGGUGGUAGAAUUUCAGGUGUAGCGGUGAAAUGCGUAGAGAUCUGAAGGAAUACCGAUGGCGAAGGCAGCCACCUGGGUCAACACUGACGCUCAUGUACGAAAGCGUGGGGAGCAAACGGGAUUAGAUACCCCGGGAUACCGCUCCGUUUGCGAUGUCUAGGCCUGCUCGGAGCCUCGGUUCUGUUUUUGAAGCUAACGCAUUAAGUAGACGCAR
rnacentral:rRNA from 1 species